rnacentral:rRNA from 1 species
AGAGUUUGAUCCUGGCUCAGGAUGAACGCUGGCGGCGUGCCUAAUACAUGCAAGUCGAGCGAACGGACGAGAAGCUUGCUUCUCUGAUGUUAGCGGCGGACGGGGGAGUAACACGUGGAUAACCUACCUAUAAGACUGGGAUAACUUCGGGAAACCGGAGCUAAUACCGGAUAAUAUUUUGAACCGCAUGGUUCAAAAGUGAAAGACGGUCUUGCUGUCACUUAUAGAUGGAUCCGCGCUGCAUUAGCUAGUUGGUAAGGUAACGGCUUACCAAGGCAACGAUGCAUAGCCGACCUGAGAGGGUGAUCGGCCACACUGGAACUGAGACACGGUCCAGACUCCUACGGGAGGCAGCAGUAGGGAAUCUUCCGCAAUGGGCGAAAGCCUGACGGAGCAACGCCGCGUGAGUGAUGAAGGUCUUCGGAUCGUAAAACUCUGUUAUUAGGGAAGAACAUAUGUGUAAGUAACUGUGCACAUCUUGACGGUACCUAAUCAGAAAGCCACGGCUAACUACGUGCCAGCAGCCGCGGUAAUACGUAGGUGGCAAGCGUUAUCCGGAAUUAUUGGGCGUAAAGCGCGCGUAGGCGGUUUUUUAAGUCUGAUGUGAAAGCCCACGGCUCAACCGUGGAGGGUCAUUGGAAACUGGAAAACUUGAGUGCAGAAGAGGAAAGUGGAAUUCCAUGUGUAGCGGUGAAAUGCGCAGAGAUAUGGAGGAACACCAGUGGCGAAGGCGACUUUCUGGUCUGUAACUGACGCUGAUGUGCGAAAGCGUGGGGAUCAAACAGGAUUAGAUACCCUGGUAGUCCACGCCGUAAACGAUGAGUGCUAAGUGUUAGGGGGUUUCCGCCCCUUAGUGCUGCAGCUAACGCAUUAAGCACUCCGCCUGGGGAGUACGACCGCAAGGUUGAAACUCAAAGGAAUUGACGGGGACCCGCACAAGCGGUGGAGCAUGUGGUUUAAUUCGAAGCAACGCGAAGAACCUUACCAAAUCUUGACAUCCUUUGACAACUCUAGAGAUAGAGCCUUCCUCUUCGGGGGACAAAGUGACAGGUGGUGCAUGGUUGUCGUCAGCUCGUGUCGUGAGAUGUUGGGUUAAGUCCCGCAACGAGCGCAACCCUUAAGCU